CUUCACCGACCCCAACCACAACGGCUCCACCCUGUCCUGUCCGUAGGUGGCAAGCAACGCCUGCGCCUC
rnacentral:antisense_RNA from 1 species